UUCUUCGGGGCGGGGUGUGAUUCCCCACCGGCGGUAUAGUCCGCGACCCAUGGUAACAUGGCUGAAUCGGUGAAAUUCCGAUACCGACAGUAUAGUCUGGAUGAGAGAAGAA
rnacentral:ncRNA from 1 species